rnacentral:rRNA from 1 species
UACGUAGGUGGCAAGCGUUGUCCGGAUUUACUGGGCGUAAAGCGCCCGCAGGCGGCUUGGCAAGUUUGGGGUGAAAUCUCCCGGCUCAACUGGGAGGGUGCCUCGAAAACUGCCAGGCUUGAGGCAUGGAGAGGGAUGCGGAAUUCCCGGUGUAGUGGUGAAAUGCGUAGAUAUUGGGAGGAACACCAGUGGCGAAGGCGGCAUCCUGGCCAUGUCCUGACGCUCAGGGGCGAAAGCGUGGGGAGCAAACCGG